rnacentral:rRNA from 1 species
GAUGAACGCUGGCGGCGUGCCUAAUACAUGCGAGUCGAGCGAACAGAUGAGGAGCUUGCUCCUCUGACGUUAGCGGCGGACGGGUGAGUAACACGUGGAUAACCUACCUAUAAGACUGGGAUAACUUCGGGAACCCGGAGCUAAUACCGGAUAAUAUAUUGAACCGCAUGGUUCAAUAGUGAAAGACGGUUUUGCUGUCACUUAUAGAUGGAUCCGCGCCGCAUUAGCUAGUUGGUAAGGUAACGGCUUACCAAGGCAACGAUGCGUAGCCGACCUGAGAGGGUGAUCGGCCACACUGGAACUGAGACACGGUCCAGACUCCUACGGGAGGCAGCAGUAGGGAAUCUUCCGCAAUGGGCGAAAGCCUGACGGAGCAACGCCGCGUGAGUGAUGAAGGUCUUCGGAUCGUAAAACUCUGUUAUUAGGGAAGAACAAAUGUGUAAGUAACUAUGCACGUCUUGACGGUACCUAAUCAGAAAGCCACGGCUAACUACGUG